AGUGAACGCUGGCGGUAGGCCUAACACAUGCAAGUCGAACGGCAGCACAGUAAGAGCUUGCUCUUACGGGUGGCGAGUGGCGGACGGGUGAGGUAUACAUCGGAAUCUACUUUUUCGUGGGGGAUAACGUAGGGAAACUUACGCUAAUACCGCAUACGACCUACGGGUGAAAGCAGGGGAUCUUCGGACCUUGCGCGGUUGAAUGAGCCGAUGUCGGAUUAGCUAGUUGGCGGGGUAAAGGCCCACCAAGGCGACGAUCCGUAGCUGGUCUGAGAGGAUGAUCAGCCACACUGGAACUGAGACACGGUCCAGACUCCUACGGGAGGCAGCAGUGGGGAAUAUUGGACAAUGGGCGCAAGCCUGAUCCAGCCAUACCGCGUGGGUGAAGAAGGCCUUCGGGUUGUAAAGCCCUUUUGUUGGGAAAGAAAAGCAGCAGGUUAAUACCCCGCUGUUCUGACGGUACCCAAAGAAUAAGCACCGGCUAACUUCGUG
rnacentral:rRNA from 1 species